AUAAUAAUAAUAAUAAUGUUUAUUCAACAUAAAUAAACAUGGUGAGUUACAGAGGUUUUUAAUUCUAAAAUUAACUACCUGUGCGUAACUAUAAAUUAACAUUUUCUCUUAUUUUUAACCUGUGGUUGUACACAACUAAACUUAUUUUCUAAUCAACCCUGAUAUGGAACAACACAAGACAAAUACACAUCAAAAUAUGUCUUAUCUGGUAAUAUAUGUCUAAUCGGGUUAUAUAUGUCUAAUCGGGUUAUAUAUGUCUAAUCGGGUUAUAUAUGUCUAAUCGGGUAAUAUUAUUGUCAAAUCGGGUAAUAUAUUUCAAAUCCGUUAUAUUAUCUUCAACUGAAAUCAAUUCACAAAUCAUAUAGUGGGUGAAAUGUCAACUCAGAUGCCCUAUUGGACCAAAAGAAUAUGAAGAAAAGGGCAGGUAUUUAGUCUUGUCAAGGUUCAAGAUCUUCCCAUGUAUCAGCUCUGUAGUGUAUGGCGGUGUCAUCUGCAAAGCUAACUAUACUGCCCUUACUUGUACAUCUGGACAAACUAUUAAUGUACACUAAAAACAGAAGCGGACCCAUGACCGUUCCCUGAGGAACGCCGUAAGUUACUAUCCUUGAAGAGCUCCUAUCUCCACCUAUAUCUACAAUCUGUUGGCGAUUCGUUAGGUAACUCUUCAGUAGAUCAAGGCUUUUGCCGCGGAAACCAGAGUUCCACAGUUUAUUUAGAAGCCUCUUAUGGCAGACAGUGUCAAAGGCUUUGGCGAGAUCCACGAAUAUGCACAAGCUUGGAAUUUUUUCAUCCAAGCAUUCGUAUAUUUUUCCAAUUAAAUCUCCUAUAGCAUCCUCCGUGG